rnacentral:lncRNA from 1 species
AGACGUAUUAUGUCCAGUACCAGGCUCCUGGCCAGACUUAUUAUACUCAGGCUUCUUCAAGUGGCUCGGGAUCUCAGGGCUGUGUUCCUGAUCCAUGCUCUGCCCCCUGUUCCACCAGCUACUGCUAUUUGGCUCCCCGGACCUUUGGGGUGAGUCCUCUGAGACGCUGGGUCCAGCGGCCUCAAGGAUGGAACACAGGAUCUUCUAGCUGCUGUGAGGAUUCUGGGUGCUGCAGCUCUGGAGGCUGCGGAGGCUGUGGCUCUGGAGGCUGUGGCUCUGGGGACUGCGGAGGUUGCGGCUGUGGCUGUGGCUCUGGGUGCUGCUGUUUGGGCAUUAUUCCCAUGAGGUCCAGAGGUCCUGCAUGCUGUGAUCAUGAGGAUGAUUGUUGCUGUUAAACACGAAAGAAAUGUUCUGCUUCCAAAAUGUACCUCCUGCUCUGUCUUCUGGAAUUACCCAAACUUAACAACGGCUUCCCUAGUUCUUUUAUCAAGGCAUCCUGCCAUAGUUAGCACAACCCCCAAACUGUGGCAAGAAUAAAGCUCUGAAUGCAAGGCAUGGAA